rnacentral:rRNA from 1 species
AGUGAACGCUGGCGGUAGGCCUAACACAUGCAAGUCGAACGGCAGCACAGUAAGAGCUUGCUCUUACGGGUGGCGAGUGGCGGACGGGUGAGGAAUACAUCGGAAUCUACUUUUUCGUGGGGGAUAACGUAGGGAAACUUACGCUAAUACCGCAUACGACCUACGGGUGAAAGCAGGGGAUCUUCGGACCUUGCGCGAUUGAAUGAGCCGAUGUCGGAUUAGCUAGUUGGCGGGGUAAAGGCCCACCAAGGCGACGAUCCGUAGCUGGUCUGAGAGGAUGAUCGGCCGCACUGGAACUGGGACACGGUCCAGACUCCUACGGGAGGCAGCAGUGGGGAAUAUUGGACAAUGGGCGCAAGCCUGAUCCAGCCAUACCGCGUGGGUGAAGAAGGCCUUCGGGUUGUAAAGCCCUUUUGUUGGGAAAGAAAAGCAGCAGGUUAAUACCCCGCUGUUCUGACGGUACCCAAAGAAUAAGCACCGGCUAACUUCGUG